GAUGAACGCUGGCGGCGUGCCUAAUACAUGCAAGUCGAGCGAACGGACGAGAAGCUUGCUUUUCUGAUGUUAGCGGCGGACGGGUGAGUAACACGUGGAUAACCUACCUAUAAGACUGGGAUAACUUCGGGAAACCGGAGCUAAUACCGGAUAAUAUUUUGAACCGCAUGGUUCAAAAGUGAAAGACGGUCUUGCUGUCACUUAUAGAUGGAUCCGCGCUGCAUUAGCUAGUUGGUAAGGUAACGGCUUACCAAGGCAACGAUGCAUAGCCGACCUGAGAGGGUGAUCGGCCACACUGGAACUGAGACACGGUCCAGACUCCUACGGGAGGCAGCAGUAGGGAAUCUUCCGCAAUGGGCGAAAGUCUGACGGAGCAACGUCGCGUGAGUGAUGAAGGUCUUCGGAUCGUAAAACUCUGUUAUUAGGGAAGAACAUAUGUGUAAGUAACUGUGCACAUCUUGACGGUACCUAAUCAGAAAGCCACGGCUAACUACGUG
rnacentral:rRNA from 1 species